ncrna:unclassified sequences S10-Clostridia ribosomal protein leader
UGAUAGCAAUGAAGCGCGAGGUUGCCGUCAAGAAUGACGGGUUUUCCGUGGAGCGAAUGUCAAGUUAGGAAACUGGCGACAA